rnacentral:rRNA from 1 species
GAUGAACGCUGGCGGCGUGCCUAAUACAUGCAAGUCGAGCGAACAGACGAGGAGCUUGCCCCUCUGACGUUAGCGGCGGACGGGUGAGUAACACGUGGCUAACCUACCUAUAAGACUGGGAUAACUUCGGGAAACCGGAGCUAAUACCGGAUAAUAUAUUGAACCGCAUGGUUCAAUAGUGAAAGACGGUUUUGCUGUCACUUAUAGAUGGUACCGGGCCGCAUUAGCUAGUUGGUAAGGUAACGGCUUACCAAGGCAACGAUGCGUAGCCGACCUGAGAGGGUGAUCGGCCACACUGGAACUGAGACACGGUCCAGACUCCUACGGGAGGCAGCAGUGGGGAAUCUUGCGCAAUGGGCGAAAGCCUGACGGAGCAACGCCGCGUGAGUGAUGAAGGUCUUCGGAUCGUAAAACUCUGUUAUUAGGGAAGAACAAAUGUGUAAGUAAAUAUGCACGUCUUGACGGUACCUAAUCAGAAAGCCACGGCUAACUACGUG